rnacentral:rRNA from 1 species
AUUGAACGCUGGCGGCAUGCUUUACACACGCAAGUCGAACGGUAACAGGCCGCAAGGUGCUGACGAGUGGCGAACGGGUGAGUAAUGCAUCGGAACGUGCCCAGUCGUGGGGGAUAACGCAGCGAAAGCUGCGCUAAUACCGCAUACGAUCUAUGGAUGAAAGCGGGGGACCGUAAGGCCUCGCGCGAUUGGAGCGGCCG